rnacentral:rRNA from 1 species
CCUACGGGUGGCAGCAGUGGGGAAUAUUGGGCAAUGGGCGCAAGCCUGACCCAGCAACGCCGCGUGAAGGAAGAAGGCUUUCGGGUUGUAAACUUCUUUUAAGCGGGAAGAGCAGAAGACGGUACCUCUUGAAUAAGCCACGGCUAACUACGUGCCAGCAGCCGCGGUAAUACGUCGGUGGCAAGCGUUGCCCGGAUUUACUGGGUGUAAAGGGCGUGCAGCCGGGAAGACAAGUAAGAUGUGAAUUCCCGCGGCUCAACGGCGGAACUGCAUUUGAAACUGUUUUUCUGGAGUACCGGAGAGGUCAUCGGAAUGCCUUGUGUAGCGGUGAAAUGCGUAGAUAUAAGGAAGAACACCAGUGGCGAAGGCGGAUGACUGGACGGCAAUUGACGCUGAUGCACGAAAGCGUGGGUAUCAAACAGGAUUAGAUACCCUAGUAGUC